rnacentral:rRNA from 1 species
AACCGACUGCUAUUUGGGUGAGGAUAACCAUGCGAGUUGUAUGGGAUACCUAGAUUUCCCAUAGCAAACUGCUUAGUAACACAUGAUCAACUUACCCUAUGGAGAAAUAUAACCUCGGGAAACUGAGGAUAAUACUUCAUAGUUGAAUAGGCUUGGAAAAGUUUUUCAAUGAAAGGGAUAAGAAAAAUGGUUCUUAUCUGCCAUAGGAUAGGAUCGUGCUCGAUUAUGGUUGUUGGUGAGGUAAAGGCUCACCAAGCCGAUAAUCGAUAGGGGCCGUGAGAGCGGGAGCCCCAAGAUGGGUACUGAGACAGCGACCCAGGCCUUACGAGGCGCAGCAGGUACGAAACCUCCGCAAUACACGAAAGUGUGACGGGGUUACCCAAAGUGUUCUUAUAGAACUGUGGCAGGUGAGUAAUGUCCCCUGCUAGAAAGGAGAGGGCAAGGCUGGUGCCAGCCGCCGCGGUAAAACCAGCUCUUCAAGUGGUCGGGAUAAUUAUUGGGCUUAAAGUGUCCGUAGCCGGUUUAGUAAGUUCCUGGUAAAAUCAGGUAGCUUAACUAUCUGUAUGCUAGGAAUACUACUAUACUAGAGGGCGGGAGAGGUCUGAGGUACUACAGGGGUAGGGGUGAAAUCUUAUAAUCCUUGUAGGACCACCAGUGGCGAAGGCGUCAGACUGGAACGCGCCUGACGGUGAGGGACGAAAGCCAGGGGAGCGAACCGGAUUAAAUACCCGGGUUAGUCCUG